AUGGCUCCCGCAAAGAAGGGUGGCGAUAAGAACGGCCGUUCUGCCAUCAACGAGGUAGUGACCAGAGAAUACACCAUCAAUAUUCACAAGCGCAUCCAUGGAGUGGGUUUCAAGAAGCGUGCCCCUCGGGCACUCAAAGAGAUCCGGAAAUUUGCCAUGAAGGAGAUGGGAACUCCAGAUGUGCGCAUUGACACCAGGCUCAACAAAGCUGUCUGGGCCAAAGGAAUAAGGAAUGUUCCAUACCGUAUCUGUGUGCGGUUGUCCAGAAAACGUAACGAGGAUCAAGAUUCACCAAAAAAAGAUUCACCACUGGUUACCUACGUAUCUGUCACCACUUUCAAAAAUCUAGACAGUUAAUGUGGAUGAGAACUAA